rnacentral:rRNA from 1 species
GAGUCUUAACCGGGCGUUAAGUUGCAGGGUAUAGACCCGAAACCCGGUGAUCUAGCCAUGGGCAGGUUGAAGGUUGGGUAACACUAACUGGAGGACCGAACCGACUAAUGUUGAAAAAUUAGCGGAUGACCUGUGGCUGGGGGUGAAAGGCCAAUCAAACCGGGAGAUAGCUGGUUCUCCCCGAAAGCUAUUUAGGUAGCGCCUCGUGAAUUCAUCUCCGGGGGUAGAGCACUGUUUCGGCUAGGGGGCCAUCCCGGCUUACCAACCCGAUGCAAACUGCGAAUACCGGAGAAUGUUAUCACGGGAGACACACGGCGGGUGCUAACGUCCGUCGUGAAGAGGGAAACAACCCAGACCGCCAGCUAAGGUCCCAAAGUCAUGGUUAAGUGGGAAACGAUGUGGGAAGGCCCAGACAGCCAGGAUGUUGGCUUAGAAGCAGCCAUCAUUUAAAGAAAGCGUAAUAGCUCACUGGUCGAGUCGGCCUGCGCGGAAGAUGUAACGGGGCUAAACCAUGCACCGAAGCUGCGGCAGCGACGCUGAUGCGUUGUUGGGUAGGGGAGCGUUCUGUAAGCCUGCGAAGGUGGCCUGUGAGGGUUGCUGGAGGUAUCAGAAGUGCGAAUGCUGACAUAAGUAACGAUAAAGCGGGUGAAAAGCCCGCUCGCCGGAAGACCAAGGGUUCCUGUCCAACGUUAAUCGGGGCAGGGUGAGUCGACCCCUAAGGCGAGGCCGAAAGGCGUAGUCGAUGGGAAACGGGUUAAUAUUCCCGUACUUGGUGUUACUGCGAAGGGGGGACGGAGAAGGCUAUGUUGGCCGGGCGACGGUUGUCCCGGUUUAAGCGUGUAGGUGUGUGUUCCAGGUAAAUCCGGUUCACUUUAACACUGAGGCGUGAUGACGAGGCACUACGGUGCUGAAGCAACAAAUGCCCUGCUUCCAGGAAAAGCCUCUAAGCAUCAGGUAACAUCAAAUCGUACCCCAAACCGACACAGGUGGUCAGGUAGAGAAUACCAAGGCGCUUGAGAGAACUCGGGUGAAGGAACUAGGCAAAAUGGUGCCGUAACUUCGGGAGAAGGCACGCUGACA